GCUGUCUUGGUGGAAUGAACAGCAGAGCAUAUUGUUCAAAAUAAUUAGAAGCUGAUUCACAUGCAAGAUUUAAUAAGAAGCCUCCAUCAAGACAAGUACGUUAGCCAAUGAUCGUAAACUUGAAAACCCCAUUAUUGUCCCAUCAUGGCCGAAUGAGAAAUUAAGAACGGAACUGACAUAAUUAAAAUAGUUGUACGAAGCUAUGCGGACCAUGUGGAUAAAGCAAGUAGCACAAUAUUAAUAUUAAUAUUAAUAUUGUGCUACUUGCUUUAUCCACAUGGUCCGCAUAGCUUCGUACAACUAUUUUAAUUAUGUCAGUUCCGUUCUUAAUUUCUCAUUCGGCCAUGAUGGGACAAUAAUGGGGUUUUCAAGUUUACGAUCAUUGGCUAACGUACUUGUCUUGAUGGAGGCUUCUUAUUAAAUCUUGCAUGUGAAUCAGCUUCUAAUUAUUUUGAACAAUAUGCUCUGCUGUUCAUUCCACCAAGACAGC
rnacentral:misc_RNA from 1 species